AUGUUGAUAUGUCAUUCUACAAUUUUGUUGUUUUUGUUGGAACCUAUAUUAUCAAUUUUACACCUUGCAGAAUUUAUGACUAACAGGUUACAUGCUGGUUUCUUACUGUUUAGGUUUCGACAAUGGACAUUUGAACAAAAUCAUAUACUGGAGACUGCUUGUAUUAUAAUAGAAGGUAAACUUACCAAUCGAACCGAGUGA
rnacentral:rRNA from 1 species